UUCAGGCUCAUAUAAUAGGAGCUACCAUUGAGGCUCCAACUCCAGCUCCGGCUCCGGCACCAGCUCCAGCUUCACAAAUACCUUCAGAUUCAACUCCAGAAACUCCGGUAACUCCAACAACUCCAGAAACUCCAGCAACUCCGACAACUCCACCAGCUCCGGUGACUCCAACGCCUCCUGCAACUCCACCAGCUCCAGUGACUCCUGACCCAACGGAUGGCACCACUGAAGGAAGUCUUAAACCAGAAGAAUGUGCUCCUCGAUGUGAAGAUAGAUGCUCAAAAACACAUCACA